rnacentral:rRNA from 1 species
UACGGAGGGGACUAGCGUUGUUCGGAAUUACUGGGCGUAAAGCGCACGUAGGCGGAUUUGUAAGUUAGGGGUGAAAUCCCGGGGCUCAACCUCGGAACUGCCUUUGAUACUGCAAAUCUCGAGUCCGGAAGAGGUGAGUGGAAUUCCUAGUGUAGAGGUGAAAUUCGUAGAUAUUAGGAAGAACACCAGUGGCGAAGGCGGCUCACUGGUCCGGUACUGACGCUGAGGCGCGAAAGCGUGGGGAGCGAACAGG